UUAAGUUCAGCGGGUAUUCCUACCUGAUCCGAGGUCAACUCUAAAAAGGUUGUGCGUUUUACGGCAGUGGCCGCGGCGCGCUCCCGUUGCGAGAUGCUGUGCUACUACGCAGGGGAGGCGGACGCCGUGGCCGCCAAUUCAUUUCGGGGGCGGCCUCCGCCCGGAGGGGCGGGCCGUCCCCCAACACCAAGCCCGGGGGG
rnacentral:misc_RNA from 1 species